CCAGGGGUCACCGGGGUUCACUUCCAGCAGAUGACUGUCACGGAAAUCUUCACAUCUAUUCAAAUGUGUGAGGCCCCGAAAUUCCAGAUCAGCAGCGACAGGAUGUGAUGUCGUUUUCUGGACGGAGAGAGAAGUCACAUGGAUUGUGGAAGUGCAAGAUACAAAGACUGCAGCGGUGGGGAAGCGGGAUGCAGUGCGUGCAACAUACAUCUGAUCUGGCAUUUGUAGAUGUGACACCAUCCUGGAGGGGGACAUUUGCUGAGCUGCUGCUGCCAACAACUUGACGUUCUCCUUCUACAGAUGAUACACAUUGCUCUGUCCUUCAGGGUUUAACCUUGCCUCUCUCCUAGACAAAGCUAUUGGCUGAGCUUUUGUUGAGGCUCACUAUAUGUACUCUUUUUCUCUCUAAACGUGGGAAAACUGACUCAGAGUUUAGCCGAAGCCAAUAAACUACUGCUAUUAACUUAGAAAGUACUCCU